GGACUACUCGGGUAUCUAAUCCUGUUUGCUCCCCUAGCUUUCGUUCCUCAGCGUCAGUUGCGGUCCAGCCAGCCGCCUUCGCCACGGGUGUUCCUGCAGAUAUCUACGCAUUUCACCGCUACACCUGCAAUUCCACUGGCCUCUCCCGCACUCAAGCACGGCAGUUUCGGGAGCAGCCCCUGAGUUAAGCCCAGAGAUUUCACUUCCGACUUGCCGCACCGCCUACGAACCCUUUACGCCCAGUAAUUCCGAGCAACGCUGGCCCCCUACGUCUUACCGCGGCGGCUGGCAC
rnacentral:rRNA from 1 species